UGGGGAAUAUUGGGCAAUGGGCGAAAGCCUGAUGCAGCAACGCCGCGUGAGCGAUGAAGGCCUUCGGGUCGUAAAGCUCUGUCCUCAAAGAAGAUAAUGACGGUACUUGAGGAGGAAGCCCCGGCUAACUACGUGCCAGCAGCCGCGGUAAUACGUAGGGGGCUAGCGUUAUCCGGAAUUACUGGGCGUAAAGGGUGCGUAGGUGGUUUCUUAAGUCAGAGGUGAAAGGCUACGGCUCAACCGUAGUAAGCCUUUGAAACUGGGAAACUUGAGCGGGAGAGGAGAGUGGAAUUCCUAGUGUAGCGGUGAAAGGCGUAGAUAUUAGGAGGAACACCAGUUGCGAAGGCGGCUCUCUGGACUGUAACUGACACUGAGGCACGAAAGCGUGGGGAGCAAACA
rnacentral:rRNA from 1 species